GGAUGUGAGGGCGAUCUGGCUGCGACAUCUGUCACCCCAUUGAUCGCCAGGGUUGAUUCGGCUGAUCUGGCUGGCUAGGCGGGUGUCCCCCUCCUCCCUCACCGAUCCAUGUGCGUCCCUCCCGAAGCUGCACGCUCGGUCGAAGAGGACGACCUUCCCCGCCGAGGAGAGGACCGGUCUUCGGUCAAGGGUAUACGAGUAGCUGCGCUCCCCUGCUAGAACCUCCAAACAAGCUCUCAAGUGGGUGAAAUGGAAUAUGUUUAACUUUUUUCUUAUUUAUUAAGUGUAACACCUAUUUUUGCUUUCAACUUACAGAGGCUCUGGUGCUUAUCUGUAAAGU
rnacentral:snRNA from 1 species